rnacentral:sRNA from 1 species
AACUUGCAGCCCGACUUGAGCGGAAAUCUUUUUUUGCUUGUACAAAAGUUUUAUUGCUUGUGAAAAUUUUCUGCAAAAAAGAUUGAGAGUGGAAGGCGGAAAUAGCU